GCUCAUUAAAUCAGUUAUCGUAUAUUUGAUAGUACCUACUACAUGGAUAACCGUGGUAAUUCUAGAGCUAAUACAUGCUUAAAAUCCCGACUUCGGAAGGGAUGUAUUUAUUAGAUUAAAAACCAAUGCCCUUCGGGGCUCACUGGUGAUUCAUAAUAACUUCUCGAAUCGCAUGGCCUUGUGCCGGCGAUGGUUCAUUCAAAUUUCUGCCCUAUCAACUUUCGACGGCUGGGUAUUGGCCAGCCGUGGUUACAACGGGUAACGGAGGGUUAGGGCUUGACCCCGGAGAAGGAGCCUGAGAAACGGCUACUACAUCCAAGGAAGGCAGCAGGCGCGCAAAUUACCCAAUCCCGAUACGGGGAGGUAGUGACAAUAAAUACUGAUACAGGGCUCUUUUGGGUCUUGUAAUUGGAAUGAGUACAAUUUAAAUCCCUUAACGAGGAACAAUUGGAGGGCAAGUCUGGUGCCAGCAGCCGCGGUAAUUCCAGCUCCAAUAGCGUAUAUUAAAGUUGUUGCAGUUAAAAAGCUCGUAGUUGAACCUUGGGCCUGGUUGGUCGGUCUGCCUCACCGCAUGCACUGAUCCGACCGGGCCUUUCCCUCUGGGGAUCCGCAUGCUAUUCAUUUAGUGUGUCGGGGAACCAGGACUUUUACUGUGAAAAAAUUAGAGUGUUCAAAGCAGGCCUAUGCUCGAAUACAUUAGCAUGGAAUAAUAGAAUAGGACGUGUGGUUCUAUUUUGUUGGUUUCUAGGACCGCCGUAAUGAUUAAUAGGGACAGUCGGGGGCAUCAGUAUUCAAUCGUCAGAGGUGAAAUUCUUGGAUCGAUUGAAGACUAACUACUGCGAAAGCAUUUGCCAAGGAUGUUUUCAUUAAUCAGGAACGAAAGUUAGGGGAUCGAAAACGAUCAGAUACCGUUGUAGUCUUAACCAUAAACUAUGCCGACUAGGGAUCGGACGAUGUUAUUUUUUGACUCGUUCGGCACCUUACACGAAAGUAAAGUUUUUGG
rnacentral:rRNA from 1 species